ACCCAUCUACAGAUACAACUACAACUACAGCUACAACUCAUCCAUCCCCACGCCUCAGAUACAACUACAACUACAACUACCAACUCAUCCCUCCCCACGCCUCAGAUACAACUACAACUACAAACUCAUCCACCCCCACGCCUCAGAUACAACUACAACUACAACUACAACUACAACUCAUCCAUCCCCACGCCUCAGAUACAACUACAACUACAACUCAUCCAUCCACCCAUCUACAGAUACAACUACAACUACAACUACAACUACAACUACAACUACAACUACAACUCAUCCAUCCCCACGCCUCAGAUACAACUACAACUACAACUACAACUCAUCCAUCCCCACACCUCAGAUACAACUACAACUACAACUCAUCCAUCCACCCAUCUACAGAUACAACUACAACUACAACUACAACUCAUCCAUCCCCACGCCUCAGAUACAACUACAACUACAACUCAUCCAUCCACCCAUCUACAGAUACAACUACAACUACAACUCAUCCCUCCCCACGCCUCAGAUACAACUACAACUACAACUACAACUACAACUCAUCCAUCCCCAUGCCUCAGAUACAACUACAACUACAACUCAUCCAUCCACCCAUCUACAGAUACAACUACAACUACAACUACAACUACAACUACAACUACAACUACAACUCAUCUAUCCCCACGCCUCAGAUACAACUACAACUACAACUACAAGUACAACUACAACUCAUCCAUCCCACGCCUCAGAUACAACUACAACUCAUCCAUCCACCCAUCUACAGAUACAACUACAACUACAACUACAACUACAACUCAUCCAUCCCCACGCCUCAGAUACAACUACAACUCAUCCAUCCCCACGCCUCAGAUACAACUACAACUCAUCCAUCCCACGCCUCAGAUACAACUACAACUCAUCCACCCAUCUACAGAUACAACUACAACUACAACUACAACUACAACUCAUCCAUCCCCACGAUGUAGAUACAGCACAGCACCACUGGCCUGUGGGUUUACUCUCCAACAAAACACUCGUAGAAAUCCCCUGAUCUGGCCAAUGGACUAUUGA
rnacentral:lncRNA from 1 species